ACUCAAAUGAAUUGACGGGGACCCGCACAACCUGUGGAGCGUGUGGUUUAAUUCGAGACAAAACGAAAAACCUCACCAGGGUUUGACAUACUACCGUUUAUCUUUCUGGAAACAGAGAGAAAUCCGUAAGGAUGGUAGUACAGGUGCUGCAUGGCUGUCAUCAGUUCGUGCCGUGAGGUGUUCCCUUAAGUGGGGAAACGAACGCAACCCGCGCCAAAUGUUAAAUAUUCAUUUGGGACUAUCCCUAGCUUAGCUAGGGGAGGAAGGAGCGGCAGAUGUCAAGUCAGCACGGCCCUUAUACCCUGGGCCACACACACACUACAAUGGCGAAUAACAACGUGUUGCAAGCCAGCAAUGGUUAGCUAAUCACUAAAAUUUCGCCUCAGUUCAGAUUGGGAUCUGAAACCCGAUCCCAUGAAGCCGGAAUAGGUAGUAAUCGCGGAUCAGCAAGCCGCGGUGAAUACGUUCUCGGGUCUUGCACACACCGCCCGU
rnacentral:rRNA from 1 species